GGUGACUAUGGGUGACACGGGUGGGUUAAUGUGUUCGCGUAUCGUCGUGUCCGCGCGCUUCCGAGAUAACUUUGCAAGAGUACUACUACUGCUAGUACUACGGCUACGGUUGAUGUGUAUAAGUGACUCAAUUAUACACACCUUUUCUAUCAAAUAAUUUUUCAGACAUUUUUUGGGUCUUAAUUUAUGUAUGUGUUGGUCUUAAAAAGUCUUAAAUUUGACUUUAAAAAUGGUGCAAGAACCAUGCAUUAUAUACUAAUAAGAAUCAUUGACAAAUCACAUUCCCCUUUUACCACCACAGGACGCACCUCACCAGUAUCAGAGCAACAGCUGUGGGGUGUUUAUGCUGCUGGUGAGAUGCAUUAUUUUCAGAAAUGAUGACUGAUGACUAGUUUGUAAAACAACUAACUCAUUUGUAUGUUAAUUUCAGUACGCAAUGUAUUCUACCCUCAAAAGCAAUAUGAUUUCAGUGAGGGGGACAUGCUCUCUAUCAGGAGGUGGUGGUUGGACAGCUGUUGGAGACCUUUAUACUUGAAAGGUUUAUAUACUGUGUCCAUGUUGCUAUUUACUUAUUUUUGGUGCUCACGAAGAUCGUAGCCAAUACACUUGUCUCUCUGUCUCUAGCCCUGCAGAACUAGCUGGCUCCUUCUCACCCUCUCCAUCUCCCCAUCUCAGUCACACCUUCCAAUCACUAAGCAGUGAAAGCCCUGCAGGACUAGCUGGCACACCAAGCUCACCCUCUGCAUCUCCCCAUCUCAGCCACACGCUCCAAUCUGGCACAACAGAGGACAGGCCAUUCUUACCACCCGAAGUCCUUCAGCAAAUUGUACAAGAGACGCUGAGACUGGACAUGGCGAUGCUUGGCGUGUUCAACAGGGUUUCAAACACAUUCCGAGAACUAAUCAAGCCUCUCCAUCCUUCCAUAUAUAUAAAUGACAGUUUGGCAGGGGACAUUAAGCUUAAUAAAGACAAUCUCAUAUACAUAACGGUUAGAAAGAUUUACAACAAUGCAGGCUGUGGCAGUGGCCUUGCGCUACGCCUCAAA